rnacentral:rRNA from 1 species
GUAGUCGUACACGGUAGCCGUAGAUCUUAACCGGGCCCGUAGAGUUUGAACCUGGCUCCGAAAAUCUUAACCGGGGUACCCUAAAUUUUGCUACGGAAUACCUCAGGGAAACUUGUGCUAAUACCGUAUGUGCCCUUCGGGGGAAAGAUUUAUCGGCAAAGGAUCGGCCCGCGUUGGAUUAGCUAGUUGGUGAGGUAAAGGCUCACCAAGGCGACAAUCCAUAGCUGGUCUGAGAGGAUGAUCAGCCACACUGGGACUGAGACACGGCCCAACUCCUACGGGAGGCAGCAGUGGGGAAUAUUGGACAAUGGGCGCAAGCCUGAUCCAGCCAUGCCGCGUGAGUGAUGAAGGCCCUAGGGUUGUAAAGCUCUUUCACCGGUGAAAUAAUGACGGUAACCGGAGAAGAAGCCCCGGCUAACUUCGUGCCACACCCCGGUAAUACAAAGGGGGCUACCGUUGUUCGGAUUUACUGGCUAAACCCACGUGGCGGACUUUUAGUCGGGUGAAAUCCCGGGGCUCACCCCGGACUGCCUUUGAUCUGGAAUCUUGAUAUGGCCAGGGAUGGAAUUCCAGUGUGAGGUGAAAUUCUAGAUUUCGAAGAAACCUUG